rnacentral:rRNA from 1 species
CGUAGGGUGCGAGCGUUAAUCGGAAUUACUGGGCGUAAAGCGUGCGCAGGCGGUUUUGUAAGACAGAUGUGAAAUCCCCGGGCUCAACCUGGGACCUGCAUUUGUGACUGCAAGGCUAGAGUACGGUAGAGGGGGAUGGAAUUCCGCGUGUAGCAGUGAAAUGCGUAGAUAUGCGGAGGAACACCGAUGGCGAAGGCAAUCCCCUGGACCUGUACUGACGCUCAUGCACGAAAGCGUGGGGAGCAAACAGGAUUAGAUACCCUGGUAGUCCACGCCCUAAACGAUGUCAACUGGUUGUUGGGUCUUUACUGACUCAGUAACGAAGCUAACGCAUGAAGUUGACCGCCUGGGGAGUACGGCCGCAAGGUUG